AUUGAACGCUGGCGGAAUGCUUUACACAUGCAAGUCGAACGGCAGCACGGGGGCAACCCUGGUGGCGAGUGGCGAACGGGUGAGUAAUACAUCGGAACGUGCCCAAUCGUGGGGGAUAACGUAGCGAAAGCUACGCUAAUACCGCAUACGAUCUACGGAUGAAAGCGGGGGAUCGCAAGACCUCGCGCGAUUGGAGCGGCCGAUGGCAGAUUAGGUAGUUGGUGAGGUAAAGGCUCACCAAGCCUUCGAUCUGUAGCUGGUCUGAGAGGACGACCAGCCACACUGGGACUGAGACACGGCCCAGACUCCUACGGGAGGCAGCAGUGGGGAAUUUUGGACAAUGGGCGAAAGCCUGAUCCAGCCAUUCCGCGUGCAGGAUGAAGGCCCUCGGGUUGUAAACUGCUUUUGUACGGAACGAAACGCGUCGAGUUAAUACCUUGACGUAAUGACGGUACCGUAAGAAUAAGCACCGGCUAACUACGUG
rnacentral:rRNA from 1 species